rnacentral:rRNA from 1 species
GAAACCGGGUGAUCUAGCCAUGGGCAGGUUGAAGGUUGAGUAACAUCAACUGGAGGACCGAACCGACUAAUGUUGAAAAAUUAGCGGAUGACUUGUGGCUAGGGGUGAAAGGCCAAUCAAACUCGGAGAUAGCUGGUUCUCCCCGAAAGCUAUUUAGGUAGCGCCUCGGACGAAUACUACUGGGGGUAGAGCACUGUUAAGGCUAGGGGGUCAUCCCGACUUACCAACCCUUUGCAAACUCCGAAUACCAGUAAGUACUAUCCGGGAGACACACGGCGGGUGCUAACGUCCGUCGUGGAGAGGGAAACAACCCAGACCGCCAGCUAAGGUCCCAAAGUAUUGCUAAGUGGGAAACGAUGUGGGAAGGCUCAGACAGCUAGGAUGUUGGCUUAGAAGCAGCCAUCAUUUAAAGAAAGCGUAAUAGCUCACUAGUCGAGUCGGCCUGCGCGGAAGAUGUAACGGGGCUAAGCA